GUGAGGAAUUUUCCGCAAUGGGCGAAAGCCUGACGGAGCAAUGCCGCGUGAGUGAUGAAGGCCUUAGGGUUGUAAAGCUCUUUCAGUGGGGACGAUAAUGACGGUACCCACAGAAGAAGCCCCGGCUAACUUCGUGCCAGCAGCCGCGGUAAUACGAAGGGGGCUAGCGUUGUUCGGAUUUACUGGGCGUAAAGCGCACGUAGGCGGAUCGUUAAGUCGGGGGUGAAAUCCUGGAGCUCAACUCCAGAACUGCCUUCGAUACUGGCGAUCUUGAGUCCGGAAGAGGUGAGUGGAACUCCUAGUGUAGAGGUGGAAUUCGUAGAUAUUAGGAAGAACACCAGUGGCGAAGGCGGCUCACUGGUCCGGUACUGACGCUGAGGUGCGAAAGCGUGGGGAGCAAACAGGAUUAGAAACCCUAGUAGUCC
rnacentral:rRNA from 1 species